AUACUUUUGUACAAUAGUUCAUAAGUGCAGUGAUUAAGUGUUCAUACUUUUGUGUGAGAUAUGCCUCCCUCAAACCUUGUUACUACAUCAGCAUAUUACCCGCUUCAUG